GCUUCAGUAACUCAGCAGGCCAGAGUGCUGGUUUUGUAAACCAGAUGUCGGGGGUUCGAUUCCCUCCUGAAGCU
rnacentral:tRNA from 1 species